rnacentral:rRNA from 1 species
GACGAACGCUGGCGGCGUGCUUAACACAUGCAAGUCGAGCGGAGCGGCGAACGGGUGAGUAACGCGUGAGUAACUGCCCCCCUCUCUGGGAUAACAGUUGGAAACGGCUGCUAAUACCGGAUAGUGGGGGAUGAAUCGCUGCGUAUCAGCUUGUUGGUGGGGUAGUGGCCUACCAAGGCGAAGACGGGUAGCCGGCCUGAGAGGGCGACCGGCCAAAUUGGGCUGAGAUACGGCCCAAACUCCUACGGGAGGCAGCAGUGGGGAAUAUUGCGCAAUGGGGGAAACCCGGAUGCAGCAACCCGCGUGCGGGAUGACGGCCUUCGGGUUGUAAACCUCUUGCAGCCAUGACGCGGUAGUGGCAGAAGAAGCACCGGCUAACUACGUGCCAGCCGCCGCGGUAAUUC